UACGUAGGGGGCAAGCGUUGUCCGGAAUCAUUGGGCGUAAAGAGCGUGUAGGCGGCCCGGUAAGUCUGUUGUGAAAGUCCAGGGCUCAACCCUGGAAAGCCGAUGGAUACUGCCGGGCUAGAGUUCGGAAGAGGCGAGUGGAAUUCCUGGUGUAGCGGUGGAAUGCGCAGAUAUCAGGAGGAACACCAGCGGCGAAGGCGCCGCUCUGGGCCGUAACUGACGUUGAGGAGCGAAAGCAUGGGUAGCAAACAGG
rnacentral:rRNA from 1 species